AUUGAACGCUGUCGGCAGGCCUAACACAUGCAAGUCGAACGAGUGGCGGACGGGUGAGUAAUGUCUGGGAAACUGCCCGAUGGCGGGGGAUAACUACUGGAAACGGUAGCUAAUACCGCAUACCAUCGGAUGUGCCCAGAUGGGAUUAGCUAGUAGGUGGGGUAACGGCUCACCUAGGCGACGAUCCGUAACUGGUCUGAGAGGAUGAUCAGCCACACUGGAACUGAGACACGGUCCAGACUCCUACGGGAGGCAGCAGUGGGGAAUAUUGGACAAUGGGCGAAAGCCUGAUCCAGCCAUGCCGCGUGUGUGAAGAAGGUCUUCGGAUUGUAAAGCACUUUAAGUUGGGAGGCGUUACCAACAGAAUAAGCACCGGCUAACUUCGUGCCAGCAGCCGCGGUAAUUC
rnacentral:rRNA from 1 species